rnacentral:pre_miRNA from 10 species
ACUGAUAUAUUUGUCUUAUUUGAGAGCUGAGGAGUAUUUUUAUGCAAUCUGAAUGAUCUCAGCUGUCUGAAAAUGUCUUCAAUUUUAAAGGCUU